GACGAACGCUGGCGGCGUGCUUAACACAUGCAAGUCGAACGGUGAAGGGACCAGCUUGCUGGUUCUGGAUGAGUGGCGAACGGGUGAGUAACACGUGAGUAACCUGCCCCCUUCUUCUGGAUAACCGCAUGAAAGUGUGGCUAAUACGGGAUAUUCUGGGUCUGUCGCAUGGCGGGCCCGGGAAAGAUAUUGCUUCGGUGGGGGAUGGGCUCGCGGCCUAUCAGCUUGUUGGUGGGGUGAUGGCCUACCAAGGCGGUGACGGGUAGCCGGCCUGAGAGGGUGGACGGUCACACCGGGACUGAGACACGGCCCAGACUCCUACGGGAGGCAGCAGUGGGGAAUAUUGCACAAUGGGCGCAAGCCUGAUGCAGCGACGCCGCGUGAGGGAUGGAGGCCUUCGGGUUGUAAACCUCUUUCGCCAGUGAAGCAGGCCUGCUCCUUGUGGGUGGGUUGACGGUAGCUGGAUAAGAAGCGCCGGCUAACUACGUG
rnacentral:rRNA from 1 species